CAAAUACUUCCUCGUCCGGAAAUACAUGUCGAAGAAAUGGAUAAAAAUGGAUGUAUCUAAAACUAAAAGGAAAUACAUGUCGAAGAAAUGGAUAAAAAUGGAUGUAUCUAAAACUAAAAUCCGUCUAGAUACAUCUAUUUCUUUGACAAGUAUUUCGGGACGAAGGGAGUACAUG
rfam:Triticum aestivum genome assembly, contig: Triticum_aestivum_CS42_TGACv1_scaffold_030671_1BL